CGAGCUGCGAAGCUCCGCCAUCUUUCUUACCUUUUUGAUUGUUGACUUGUAAAUUUUGUAAUUAGUUUUUGCCGACGUCCACCGUGCCGUUUUUUAAGUAAUUUUUGGUAUUUUACAAAUUGUGUUACUUUAGUGGACACGUGGAGACAUGGACGCUGACUGUUGGAAGAAUUCGUCAAUUCAGACUGGCGCAAAGAGCUAUCAGGGCGCGAUGCCAGGAAUUUCAUUGCGAGACAGAAUUCGAAAUGAGGAUAUUCGCCAACGCAAUAAAGUUACCGACAUUGCAAAAAGGAUUAACUCAAGUGGGAAUGGACCGGCUAUAUUUUUCGCAGAGAUGACGAUCAAUGGGGUCGCCUAGUAUUGCUGUGGAGACCUAGCCUGGGUGGCCGAGGUGGCGGGAAACCACGAGCAGAUGGUCGGAUGACAUCAAAAAACGGCAGGGCCCACCUGGCACAGAACCGUCACAUAUAGAACGGAGUGGAAACCCACGGAAUGCAGACCAGGAUCAUAUACUUUAGGUAUGAGUUUGUUACUUUUGCUCAUAAUAACAUGGAGUAUGUCACAGCUGCUCCACGGGCUGCAUUGAAGGGCAACAGGAGCGAAAAUGGAAAGGAGCUCCCCCUUUCAAUUAGAGAAUCUUAGGAUAUGCUAAGGCAAACAGAAGGAGGCAAGGAACGGGACUGCAUCAAUUGCUGUUUGGAACCAAUCUUGUGGGAUGACUUCUGGACAGGGAAAAAACAAUUUCAUCAUCUACCCUAAUACUGACGAAUGUUCUAAAACGUGCUGUAAGGCAGACAUUUCCAAAUGUAACGGAGGAAAGUUUCGAGACAUGUAAUGGUUUCAACACGCUGCUGAGACCCAACUCAAGAGACGUCAGUUUGUACUGUUUUGUCCAUUCUCUAUUGGGCAUGCUUGUAUGGAGAGGUAUAUAUAUUGGAGUACAGACAUGGUGUUUGGUAUGAGUAUUAUAUACAUCCUCUUGAGUCAAAGAGGACCGGUAGCCACUUUGAACUCCGUGUCCGAAAGGGUCAAAGUAUGGAGCUCCCGGUACUCAGAAAAAAAAUUCUGGCCUAUUAGUUUUGAACUUUCGAGUCAAGUUUGGUGUCAUUUUUAUGUAAACUGUUCGCUUCAUUAUUAAAUUGAAGAAGAUUAAAAAUCACAGUAAUAUUAUUAAGGCAAAAGUUUGUGAGCAUACUGUGUUUGUUACUUCCUCACGCCACGCCCAAGUGCCUUAACAAAUAUUAUUUAUAAAAUUAAGUAUGGAGGAAGUAAGAUAUACCCUAAGUUAACACGUCGCUUCUUCUUGAUCGUGGGUAACACUCGGGGCGCAGUAUAAUGAUUAUUAAAAAUCUUUAUGCUGUCCCCUAUGCUGCGAUGGCGAUCGUUGCAGUACUUUCAAUAUUUUUUUUACAUCAAAUAUUAGAAUCAUCAAAGAUUACUAAUAAAAUAGGCUUUUUAAAAAUAUUUUUUAAAAAUCAUGAUUAGUAUAAAAAUAUGGAAAUAUGAGGAUUUGUUUGCAUUUCGUGGCUACUAAAAAUUCAUUAUAUUAAAUAUUGUGCUAUAUUUUGCUAUGGAACCCUAAAAAAGUAGUUACAUAAAACUGACACUAAAAUUGACUCAAAAGCUCAAACUAAUCGGCCAGAAUUUUUUUCUGAGCAGCAGGAGCUCCAUACUUUGACCCCCUCUCCCCCCUUCGGACACGGAGUUCAAAGUGGCUACCGGUCUUGUUUGACUCGGGAGGACGUGUAUAAUACCCAUACCAAACGCCAAUGCCCUACUCAAAAAUUCACCUUUUCCCAAUAGAGAACGGACUGUGUUAGACAGACGACAGUGCAUGUUGUUACACGGUAAAUUUUACUAGAAGACCAAAUUUAUAAGUUCCUUAGUUAUUCUAUUUUUAACUAAAUAAGUUCUUGUACUAUAAGCAAUCGGAAUAGGCAGAGUAGAUAUAUUUAUUUUUAAACGAAAUGACUUCCUUGCGAUAGUAUUUUUUCAGUACAGAUGGUGUUUUUUUUUACGCACUAGUGCGAGAAGUGGUUCAUUAUA